CAAGUAUUGGCAGAGAAUGAUGAAAUAAUCUGUCAUGCAGAUGCAGGGAAGUUUGAAUCGAUUACUCUAUAAAUGCAUUGUAUUUACAUAAAUUGUAAACUGAUAUUAACUAAAAAGAUGAUUGAGAUCGUCAUGAACACUUGAACCAUUGGAUUUGAAGCUAUAUUUCGGCAGGUGUGAACUUGAAUCUCGCCCAGAGUUUUUGUAUGCAUUUGAAUUCUUCCGGAACGAAGGUGGCGAGCCAACCACCCUUGAUCGUUGGAUCCAUGGAGUCAUCAAUUGCUGCGGGAUGUCUCAUGUGAUAACACUGUGCGGUAGGAUCUCAGUGAACCCUUGAAUGCAUUUUUUCCUUUCCCCUAAAUUCCAGAUUGGGAUUGGAUAGAACAGUUUUGUUUAAUUUUUUUUUUUUUUUUUUUUUUUUUUUUUUUCUUCACUCGUUUUUUUGGAACCCAAUAGACAGAAGUGAUUUCCACUAAAGGAAACAUUUUUUUGGUCAUCUGAAAGACUGGACUGAGGAACUCUUUAAAAGAAAAAAAAAAAGACAGACACAUACAUUGAUUGCGCACCACACUUUAUUGAUGUUCUGGUGAUUGUUUUGUUACUUCAGUACAGUUCAUGUGGAAUGGCAAUUUGUGUGGUUAUCAAUAACUUCUGGUUGUGCUGUUCACUACACUAGAGUUCAACGAGUAUCCGAACCUAGUGUGUACUUACCCUUAGAGAAGGGUUACAGUAACAACACUCUAAUACAACAACUCUUCCUCUUUUCUAAAGCAGCCCAACAUGGCCUCACCCCAUUUGUUUCAUGUUCUCGGGGGCAGGGUUUAUGUAAAUUUUAGGGUUAGUGAUGUCACCAACCCGGGAAGAAGCUUAUUUUAGUCUCUACCAGCUGUUUGUUGUAGUACUUAAACAGAGAAUUAUUUGAAAGAAAAUAUCUCCAUUUGCAUGGAACUUUGAGUGUAGUAACUUUGCAGAUGUUGUUUAUGCUCUAACAGCAACAUUACACACUAACUAAAGUAAAAAAAAAAGUGAAAUCAUAAUCAAGCACCCCUUUAAGACCUGUUCAUCGAAUGGUUCUUUUAUGGCAUCACUGUGAAAACCCUCCUUUGGAACCUUUAUUUUUAGGAGUUGAAUCAUGUAGGAUUGUUUUUGUUUGUUAAAUCUACCACCAAGCAAAAUCAUAAAUCUGUUUGUUUGGAAACAAAUACUAAAUCUUUCCUAAAUCAGCCACAUAAUGUGUAGUAUCAUUUAUGUUUGUAGCACUUAAGUUUAAUAUUUUGAAAAACACCCUUCCAUUUGAGCAGUAAUAGUGUUUGAAAUGCUAAUGCUUGCCUUAGCCACUAAUGAUAAAAAAUUAAGUCUUGAGUCAUCUCAGAGUUAAAAGAACAUCUGGCAUGCUACCUCUAAAAGCAUUUUAAAUAAAAUAAAAUAAAAACCAAACGUUCCCCUCAACAAAUAUUUUAACACUUUAACAAAAUAAGUAGCAACAGGUUGUUCUGGUAGUGCAGGUAAAUCACCUAUUGCAUAUUUUUAUGCACAAAAAGCAGGUUUUUUUAAUCAAUUCAAAGAAUCUGCUCAAACCCAUCAUAAAUACACGCAAUUUGCCUCUAAUAAUAAGAGUAAAAGCAUCUUUACCUGAAUCCAGUCAUUUCUUAGAUAAUUGUACAUCAACAUAAUCACACGCUUUGUGUGCACACAGCCAUCUCUUAGGACUUCUCUGCAAAAACCCCCCCCAAAAAACAAAAAAAAUUUUUUUUGAGCCACAUUACUGGCUCUUGACUCAAUGCACCUGGCAUUUUUUUUCUUCAAAAACAUGAUUGAUGCCAAAACAAUACUUGGUCUUGAUACAUUGAUUGAUUACCAUGAAAAGAAAUAGCAGGUCUCAGAAAAUAAUUUCUCUGUGGCCCAGAAAUCAGGUUGAUUUGGCAGUGUUAAGGCAGUGAUGGACAAUUUCUCUUACUGUACGUUAGUCCCUCUAAUUCCAUGGCAACCAUGGAAAGGUGAUUAGAGGGUAGUUUCUUUGAUAUUUUAACGGGUUAUCUGUUGUUUGGGUGGGUUUUUUUUUAUCACAAUUUUAGUUCUGUUUCCUUGUUCCCUUUCGGGGGAACUCCACGCUGCAUCAGGUGUUGAUGCUAUGGGAACACUUCUGCAUGAUUGUGUCUUGAAGCAAGUGUGAAAUGUCCAGCGUGUGACGUCAUGACCAGGAAACUAUAAAGCACACCUUCACCAAACAACUUUAACUUCUGUGUGUUCAGCAAGCUCUCUAUGCAAAUUGUUUGUCAUUUGUUUGUCCUGUAGUCAAAACAAAGUAGUUCAAACAGCAAUUUAGAUUGUGUGUUCCUCCUUGCCCACACUAUAUCAUGGGUGGGGAUACACACAAUUUAUGUAUUUUUGUUGUUGUGUAUUUUUUUUUUUUUGGGAGCAGAGCAUGCACAGUCUGCUCUCUAGGGGGCUGACUGUGCUCACUGUGAACAUCUGCCACUGUGGACGUCCACUCCCACCUGGCACUCUUUGAGGAGGGCUCUCAGGCAUGCAUUUUUUCGUGGUUCGGGUCCCGCUGCUACCGAGGCAGAGCAGUGACUCCGAUCAUGGGGAUUGCAGAUGGAUUUAGUGGAGGGAUUUAAGAUGGUCCUGGCCUCAAUCCUCACCCGCUAGAUCCAGCACUUUCUCUCAGGAUACGGAAGCACGCUCUGCAGCUUCUGGUGCUCAGUAUUGAGGCAGGGAAGAUAGAUCCAAGCUCUCCUGCGUAUGAGGAGCUUGUGGAGGUUGCAUCGUUACUUGCACCGUGGCCAGGUUAAAUAUCGAAUGGCUGGCCAAGAGGCAGGAGGUUUGUAGAAGAAGCAAAUUAGAUAAAUGUUCCUACCUAAUAAAGCGCAACCUCCACGAUCAAUGGUGCAUUCACCUUGAUGUGAGCAGCCCCAACCACCUACCAGCACUUCAUAUAUAGAGAAGAAGAGGCAGUGUCACAAAAAGAAUGGGGGUCUGGACAGCACUCUCAGCCUUGGUCUUCACUGGGAAGAGUGGAUCUGAGUACUGUUAUCAUCGCCAAGAAGACUGCAGCAAAGAGGCCAUGACACCAAUAGUCUGCCCUCUGAGGGUGGCUCACACCACAUCAUUGGGUCCUGCAGACUAUAGAAAGAGGAAAGAGGUUACAGAAUUCAGUUCAGUUCUCACCCACCUCGUUUCAACAGGAUUUUACCCACAGUCGUUUGUCCCAAUCAGGCUCAGGUGAUAGAACAAGAGGUCAAGCCUCUUUUGGCAAAGAAGGCUAUAGAAUAUGAUCCUUCUCUAGAUGCCAGCUUUUACAGAUGCUAUUUUAUUGUUCCAAAGAAGGAUGGUGGGUUGUGUCCAUUAUUAGAUCUACAUCAGCUGAAUCAUGCUCUGAGGACAUACAGGUUCAAAAUGUUAACUCUGAAGUUAAUUGUGACUCUCAUCAGAUGAGUGGACUGGUUUGUCACAAUAGAUCUAAAAGACGCAUACUUCCAUAUAUCCAUCCUACCUCAUCACUGGAAAUUCCUCAGGUUUGCUUUCGGGGGCGAUGAUUACAGUAUUGUUUCUUCCUUUCAGCCUAGCCUUGUCACCCCGCACCUUCAUGAAGUGCAUGGAUGCAGCUCUGGCCCUGUUUGUGACUCAAGGGCAUUCGUGAUUCAGCAUUGAGAUGCCGUCCUCACUCAUAUGAGGUGCUUGGGAUUAAUACUGAACUCCAAGAAGAGUGUGCUUUUUCCAAUUACAGAAUACCACUUUUCUAGGGGUAGUAUGGGACUUGAGUCAAUCUUUUUAGCCUUAGGCAAGAUCAAACUAGGCCAAGUCAUCACUGUGAAACUUUCAAAGACUGUUGGGGCUCAUGGCAGCUGCAUCCAACAUGAUACCUUUUGGCCUUCUGUACAUGAGACCAUUACAGUGGUGGCUCAAGUUGAGGGUGCCUUGACAUUGCAAAAUGCUUACAACAGAUGCUUCUCUCAUGGGCUGGGCACGUAAACUGCCUGGAGAUGAUGGCUGUUUUUCUGGCUCUGAAAUCUUCCUUCAAGAGGCCACCAAGUGCUUGUCAGAUCAGACAACAUGUUGGUGGUCUCCUACAUAACAGCAGGCUGUUCUCCCUGAGGGCAGUGUACAUCCCUGGGCACCUGAAUCAGGGAGCAGACAUCCGGCUGAGGCUGAGGCCCCGUGGAUGGAGACACUACCCCGAGGUGGUGGAGUUAAUUUGGAGGAAAUUUGGCCAGGAGGAAGUGGACCUGUUUGUUUCUCAAAAAACAUCACACUGUCAGCUCUGGUUCUCCCUCAUGCAUCCAGCUGCGUUAGUACAGAUGUGGCAGAGGCUGUGCAUGUACAUAUUUCCCCCGAUUGCUCUGCUCUUGGGAGUUCUACUCCUAGUAGCCCCGUUUUGGCCAGGCCGAGUAUGGUUCUCGGACCUGAUAUCUCUCCCUGAUGGCUCUCUAGGAGAUUCCUGUCAGGAGAGAACUUCUGUCUCAGGCAGGGGGUGCUAUCUUCCACCCUCAUCCAGACUGCUGGAAAUUGUAAGUUUGGCCUCAGAGGGGGAUCAACUCCUGAACUCUUGUCUCUCAACUGAGGUUGUUGAGACCAUCCUUAACUCUAGAGCUCCCUCCACGAGGAAACUGUAUGGCUUGAAGUGGAGAGUUUUCACUUCGUGGUGCGUAAAUCGCCAGUUGGACCCAGUUAACUGCCCGCUUUGUUCAGUGCUGGAGUUCCUCCAGGACUGAUUUUCUGCAGGGCUAUCCACCUCCACCUGCCAUAAUUCCUACAUGCCUGUGAUCGACUUGCUUCGGCCAAUCAGAGGCCGACAUUGUUUGGUCAAGGUGUGCUUUAGCGUCCUAGCUGAGGAGGAGACUUGUACACGCUACGGGAUGACAUCUCACCAUGCCACUGGACUGAUUUCACAUGUGCUUUAGUGCUGUCAAAUUAAAAUUAAAAUUUUGAAUAUUCAUUGAAAUUGAAAAAAACGUCUCAGGUUAUGACUCUAACCAUAGUUCCCUGAGAAGGGAACAAGAUGCUGUGUCCAGGACGCUUUGGGAACGCCUCAGCGUGAUUGCAUCUGAUGCACGUGUGUCAACUAGCCAAUGGCGAGAGUGUACGUCAGACAGUGGAGACUGCUGACCAGAGACCUCAUAAGCAAGUGAUAUAGCCUCGACUAUCCACUUGCUAACCGUUUGUUUGGACACAGGGAGACCCCUUUUAUGUGGUCCAAAACAAGCAAAUCGUUGAUCUGAAUUUCUCCACAGGGCAGCUCUGUGGACAUACUGUAUCUCACAAAAGUGAGUACACCCCUCACAUUUCAGCAACCACUUUCUUCUCAAGGGACAAUACUAUAGAAAUGAAACUUGGAUAUAUUUUAGAGUAGUCAAUGUGCUGUUUGUAUAACAGUAUAGAUAUACUGUCCUCUAAUAAUAACUCAACAUACAGCCAUUAUUGUCAAAAUAGCUGGCAACAAAAGUGAUGUACGUCAUUUAACCAUGCAAAGCCACAUGUCCUAUUCAUCAUGUUCAUGGUUUUGUCUGCUUGACAGGACCAUACAAAUUUGUUUAUCUUGUAUUAGAGCAGUUUAAAUUUGGCGCUUUGAGUACAAUUCUCUCAUACUGACCACUGGAUGUUCAACAUGGCACCUCAUGGCAAAGAUCUCUCUGAGGAUUUGAGAAUUAGAAUUGUUGCUCUCCACAAAGAUGGCCUAGGCUAUAAGAAGAUCGGUAACACCAUGAAACUGAGUUACAGCACAGUGGCCAGGGUCAUAGAGAGAGGUUUUCCAAGACAGUUUCCACUCGGAACAGGCCUUGCAAGGGUUGUUUAAAGAAGUUCAGUCCUCAUGCUGUGCAUCAGGUGCAGAAGCUGGCUUCAGACCAUACGCCACACACUGCAACAAGUCGGUUUGCAUGGUCGUCGUCCCAGAAGGAAGCCUCUUCUGAAGCUGGCUCACAAUAAAGCCUGCAAAAAGUUUGAUGAAGACAACCUGUCCAAGAGCAUGAAUUACUGGAACCAUGUCCUGUGGUCUGAUGAGACUAAGAUAAACUUGUUUGGCUCAGAUGGUGUCCAGCAUGUGUGCCAACGCCCUGGUGAGGAGUACCAAGAAAACUUUGUCUUGCCUACAGUCAAACAUGGUGGUGGUAGCAUCAUGGUCUGGGGCUGCAUGAUUGCUGCUGGUACUGGGGAGCUGCGCUUAAUUGAGGGGAACAUGGAUUCCAACAUGUACUGUGACAUUCUGAAGCAGAGCAUGAUGCCCACCCUUCAUAAUGACCCCAAACACACCGCCAAAAUGACAACUGCCUUGCUGAGGAAGGUGAAGGUGAUGGAGUGGCCAAGUAUGUCUCCAGACCUAAACCCUAUUGAGCACCUGUGGGGCAUCCUCAAGCGGAAGGUGGAGAAGUGCCAUGUGUCUAACAUCCAGCACCUCCGUGAUGUCAUUAUGGUGGAGUGGAAGAGGAUUCCAGCAACAACCUAUGCAGCUCUAGUGAAUUCCAUGCCCAGAAGGAUUAAGGCAGUGCUCGCACUGGACUCACAAGAUUCAACUUUUCCUGGUCUUGAUCUGAGAACAGAAGAGGACAGAAAGCUUGCAGCACUAUAGGCUGUGGAAUAUUGGUCAGAACCCUAGAUAUUUAGCCCGAUAUUUAGGGUAAAGGAACGCUUUGACCAUCCCUGGGCAAACUCGAGGCACGUAGGGGAUACAGAUAGGGCCUGAAGGUCUCCUACUCUUUUGAGUGAAGAAAUGGCAAGGAGUAAAACAGUCUUCAACAUCAGAAAUUCUUCUGAGACAGGAUCAAGCGGCUCAAAUGGAGCUGCAGAAAAGCCUUCCAACACAAUGGCCAAAUCCCAAGCAGGAACCCUACUGCGUGUUGCAGGCCUCAGCCUCAAGGUGCCACGAAGGAAACGAUACAUCAAAGGGUUCUACCCCACAGUUGUACCAUCCACAGGGACAUGGUAUACAGAAAAAGCUGAUACGUAGACCUUUAGGGUGGACGAUGAUAGCCCUGAUGAAAAGCGAUCUUGCAAGAACUCUAGUACUGUACCAAUUGGGCAGUUAACUGGAUCUAGCUGUCGCACAUCACACCAAGAAGUGAAAAGUUUCCACUUCAGGGCAUAUAGUUUCCUUGUGGAAGGAGCUCUGGGGUGAAGAAUGGUCUCCACAACCUCGGUUGAGAGACCAAAUACUAUGAGUUGAGCCCCCUCAGAGGCCAAACCCACAAGUUCCACACUUCUGGGGUGAAUUAUCAUGCCCUCCGCCUGAGAUAGAAGGUCCCUCCUAAUCGGAAUCUCUGAGGGAGAGCCGUCGAUGAGAGACAAAAGAUCCGGGAACCAUAUCCGACUCGGCCAGUAAGGCGCUACUAGCAAUAGACUUAUCCCUUCCCAGCGAAUUUUCUCCAGAACUCCUAGGAGCAGAACAUUUGGGGGAAAAGGGUACACACGUAGCCUCGGCCACAUCUGUACCCUAGUAUCCAGUCCAAGAGGAGCUGGAUGCAUGAGAGAGAACCAAAGUGGACAGUGCGGCGCAAGAGACGCAAACAGAUCCACUUCCACUUGGCCAUAAAUCUCCCAUAUGAGCUUCACCGCCUCGGGGUGAAGUCCCCAUUCCCCUGGCCCUAGCCCCUGUCUCGACAGGAUGUCUGCUCCUAUAUUCAGGGUCCCUGGAAUAUAGAUUGCUGUCAAGGAGAGUAUCCGACUGCGCUAAUAUUAGCCAGUCAUCUAAUUAGUCAUCUAAUUAGUUCAGAAUGCGUAUGCCCUGCAGCUUGAGCGAGGCUAGAGCUGCAUCUACGCAUUUUGUGAACGUGCAGGGUGAUAAAGCUAGACCGAAUUGAGGAACCUAAUAUUGGUAUGCUUCGCCCCUGAAAUCAAACCUGAGGAACUUCCUGUGCUGUGGAAGUAUGCAUCCUUUAGAACUAUCGUGACAAACCGGUCCUCGGAUCUGGUUUAGCAUCAAUAUUUUGAACCUGAGUUUUCUGACUAAAUGAUUCAAAUGAUGAAGAACUAAUAUAGGAUACAGACCUCCAUCCACCUGUGGAACAAAAUAGUAGCGGCCAUAAAAACCCUGACUCUCUGCUGGGAGGAGGAGCCCGUUUUAUAGCUCCUUUUGCUAAAGAGUUUACUUUCUGUUCCAUUACCAGAGCCUGCCCGGGAUGGACUAAUGUGGAGAGCACCCCACUGUAUAAAGGUGGAUGAAAACCGAACUGGAUUCUGUACCCUUUCUAUGUUUGGCAAAAGCCUCAACUCUGCCAGAAAAUCCACAAAGGGAAUCAGCCUCUCGAGGCUGGUCUCUGGUAUGCUUAGAGCAGCCACUUCGGUGACCUAAAACACAAUGGAAGGAAGCAACCGAUUUGACCACUUAUCGCCCAUCCCCAGAGGGUGUGAGCUUGACACAGCAUCGUGAGAACACUGAGUCAUGAGCUCGCUGGAAACUGCUGCACCCCGAAGCACCGAGGGUGGCGGGGUUGGCAGAACGGUCCCCUGAGGGCAACGAAGUGGGGCGGGCACCGUAUACUGAGGUGUUCACCGCCCUAUCUCAUGUGAGGCUGCCCUUAGAUUUAUUUUCAGAGGGUGUGAGCCUGAUGCAACAUCGUGUUGAGUGCUGAAUCAGAAGUUCGCUGAAAACCGCUGCGCCCCGAAGCACCAAGGGUGGUGGGGUUGGCAGAAUGGUCCCCAGAGGGCAACAAAGUGGCACGGGCACUUUAUACUGAGGUGUACACUGCUCCACCCCGCAGAAGCCUGACAGUGGUGUCAGGAUCUACAUGAAAAGCUGAACUAAUACAUGAAUCUGACUGAUCAAAGUCAGAUAAAUAUGUAUUAUUUUAAUUUCUCAAAAUUAAAUACAGCCAACUGUCCAUUUACAUCUGAUGCGGUGCAGGCUUUCUUAGAAGGCAAUGUUUGAAAACCUCCUUCUCCAUAUACUUGCCAUUGCAGCGCUGUUGCAUUGAAGCGACGGCAGGACCAAAGAAAGCCUGGCCAGGCUCAACCUGUGCUCCCAUGAUGCGCCGCUCUUCACUAUCGGGGAGAUCAGAUAGAUUAAGUUCAUAUUCUCUUCACACAGAGAGAGUCAUAGAACGCCCGCUAGCUUGGACAGCUUGACAACAAGGCUUUAAAGAGUGGUGGGUGGACGCAGAAAAGCGAUCCAUUUUGCCGAGGAGAACAGGCUUGGUCGGGGCAAGCAGCCCACCUAGAGCAGGGUUAAUGUGUCUGGCGAUAUAGGGCUCGAUGGCGGGGGGGGGGGUCACCCAUACUGAGAGCGGCCAUAUCCUCAACAUCCAAACCCGUGAGACUGUGUUAGUGGUCGAACGGGACUCCCAACAAUGUUUAAUGUGUUUAGCACAAGCAAGGAGGAUAGGGAAAAACUAUCACUUUGGCCGGGAGGGGGUCCCAGGAGUUUUCCAUCAUAGACAUCCCGCUCUUGGUCAGAGGAACUUUGAAGGGCCGGCCAUUCGAUGUUGAGGCAAGUGGCCGCUCGCUCAAAAACCUCAAAGAAGACCAAAAGCAGUGGGAGCAUUCAUCUAAAGCGUCACAGAUGACGGGAUGGUAUCCUUGUCUUCCGAGCCGUCGAGAAAGCCAGCAUUGUCCUCGUCCCCAGCAGCCGGGUGGCUCAUCCAUAAACGGGGUUUCGACACCACAAAAGAGGCCGCAUCGCGGGAGUCCCCCGUGUGCGCACCUGCGUCGCCUUUUUUUCCCAACAGAGUUGGACAGGCAUAAUCAGAGCGGCAUGUUACAGUGUCUAUUCGGCGUGUUUACGGCCCAUACACACAACACAGUAAGGAUGGAAAUCCCUAGCGGCGAAAAGGAUACCGCACUCGGCCAGGCAGGCACGAAACUGGUAGUCCUGGGGGGGGGGCUGUUGUGGGUUUAGAGAGAGCCAUCAAAGAAAUAAACGCAUAAUCCGACUGGCGGGCAGCCGUAGAACGGGAAAAUAGCGAAGAGAGCGAGGCAGGUAGCCUGCUAUACAGCGCAUUCAUGGGCGGCUUGUAGUAAUUACUUCAGCUAACCUGGCUGAUUGGACAAACACGUCCAACUGAGGCUGAUCCCAAAAGAUGUGUCCUCCUGCAGACAAUAGUGAAGUCCAUAAAACCACGAGCUGAGUGUACAAUAUUUCAGAGGUCGCGAGAAGUGAAUGUCAACUGGAGAAUAGCAGCGCGUGUUGCCCAUAUAUGCUCUCAGGUAAGGGGGUGGGGCCUUACCUGGCAUUGGCUAUGCGCUUCUGUCUGUCUAGCCAGACUUGGUGCAAUUGGAUGCUUCUGCAGAGGUCAGGUACGGAUGCUCUUGCCAUAGGUGGAUCUCGAACACGAGAUGAUGAAAGAGAACUGAAGUCGUAUUUCAAAAAUACAUCUCAAAGUAUCUAUAUUCUGCAAGAAAACUGCUGCUUCAUUCCAAUUUAGUGAAAAGUAAUGGACUUUCACAGUAUUACUAACAGCUUGAUGCAGUGUAAAGAUUAAAUUUAGUGAAGAAAAUGGAUAUAUAUAUGGGUAGGGCCGAUUCUCUCUUCUUGAGUGACUUGUGUAAUGGGCACUUUACAAUAGUCCCGCCUUGAGAGACUAUCUUGGAAACUUAAACUGGCUUUUAUGUAACUCAAGCAAGUGUAUGGAUUGUGUUAGUGCACAAAGGGAUCUAUUGUGACACACACACUUCAGGUAAUGAGCGCAAAGAACUGUAAUUUCAUCGGCUGAUUACAGAUGGUAAUUAAGACACUGAUCCUGCAAUUAUUCUGAGGCAGAUAUUGCAUGAGUGGAAUACUGUUCUUUAUGAAACAUAUCCGGCUCUAGAGGCUGAUCGGAUGAGCUGCGUUGUAAAAUAGCCCAUAAACACACACCUGCAACUGCCACGUCGCAAAUGAGAUCACUUUAAUAUCUCAUUUGCUUCUUCUAGACAUAAAAAAGAUUAAAUUGAGAGUAAAUGGAGAUUUUUGCUCAAUUCUAUUGCUUCUCAAAUGUUUGUUCUGUAAAAACAGUCCAGAUCAAAUCUUUCUUACUUAAAAGUUAAGAUCAAAUUAUCUGAGUUGUCCAAAUUAUAUUAUAACUCUGUACUCUUUCAACAAUUGUCUCAUUUGUUUCUAAUUUCAGUUCACCUAAAGAGUUUUGGGAGAAACAUCUCAGACAAAGCUGAUACUUAAAGGGAUAGUUCAUAUAAAAAUGAAAAAGCAGACAUUUACUCAGUCUGAUGUCAUUCCAAACCUGCAUGACUUUGUUCUGUGGAACAUAAAAGAAAAUAUUUUGAUGAAUGUUGGUAAUCAAACAGUUUUGGUUCCCAUUGACUAUAGGAACCGAAACUCUUUUCUAUUUUCAAACUAUCUUUUUUUCAUGUUUGAAAUGACAUGAGGGUCAGUAAAUAAUCUAUGACUUUAAAACAACUGAGAAAUGUAUGGUGCUUCUAAGGGAACAUGGUUAAAAAGUAUAUUUUACCAUGUCACUUUAGGGGCUCAGAAGAACUGAGAAGUCUUCUAAAUUAUAAAAAAAGGAAUAUCUAACUAUUUACUCUGAAUACAUCAGUUGAAUUAUAUAUAAAUGUUCUCUCUUUGGUCAUUGUGUUGCUUAACAACCAUAAACAACCUUCAGUAUUUUACUUGCUGGAAGAAUUAUGAUUAUUAUUAUAAUUUUUAAAAAAGCAUUAUCUUUUAAAACAAAUGAAUUAUUUUAUUUGUUUUAAUAUCUUUUAUUAUAUUACGCCACUGGAGGCCGAGCAUUAUACACCACAGUCCUUUUCAGGUCAUGGCUCGCAACAGCCCAUAACCGUGGUAAAUCACUGUGACAUGCAGCCUUCAGUGGCUUAUUGCUUAUUUUCUUUUGUGAGAAGGCAGUAUCCACUGCUCACUGGUUUUAUUAUUGAUCAAUUAUCAAUCACCCCAAGGUAAAAUAUUGAUAUAAAUUCUACUGAUGCUUGUCUGUGUUCACUACUGUUCUGCCUGCACAUAAGUUUUACUUACGUAUACCCUUAAUUAAAGGUUAAUGGUGUAACACAAUUAUAUUAUUUAGUUAGUUAUGUCACACAUAGGCUGAGUAAUUUAUGCCAGGUUAGUGCAACUGGCCCCAGUUGCUUGAAUAUGAAGGAGGCUGAAGAAACAGACAACAGAGAAAAUCUACCCACCAGAGUGAUGUUUUGGUGUUUCUGCAGGGAGGGGGUCAUCAUCUUGCUGUGCUAUCAGCAGCCUGACACAAACACCUCUACCUUCCCUCUAAAUAAAUAUCUAGACAGACAGCUGUGUCAGGAGAUGAGUAACUACACAUUCUCUCUAUGAAACACUAUCACUCGGUGGCACAAUUGCAUUUUCCACCCCGCUUCAGCCUUUUCAUGCAGCGACCGCUUACGUUUGGAGCAAUCUUGUACAUGCACCUGCAAAUGCAAAAGCAUAUUUGCUAUUGUGGUCAUCAUGAAGUGCUUUGAUUGCCAAGAAUGUUCGUUGUUUAUUGCAUACUGUAUCCCUUUCUUUGAACAGACAAGCCUUGCAAAACAUGCCUUGUAAUGGAAGUAUCCAUCAGCAACCACAACUCAUUUAAAAAACUUUGGUGAUUUCAGAAAUAAAAUAAAUGGCCCAUAGCAUUCAAAUGCAUUUUUUUUUAUUUCUUUGUGUGUGUGUGUGCAUUACACUUUUAUGCCAUCGAUGACAAACCCAGCUAACAAAAAAUGUUCUAAUAAUAUUUUUCUAACGUUCCCAUUAAGUUAUGAAAGCAUUAUUUCUGAAUGUCAGGUAAACGUCUUUUAAAUAUUUUAAAAAUGUUUUUCUUGGUUAUAUGAAUGUUAUAUGAACUUUACAUUUUAUAAUUUUACAAAAAACUUUAGGGGAGCAUCAAACUGUGGGGAAAAAAAAAAAAUAAAAAAAAAAUAAAAAUAAAAUUCCAAUGGACAAUAUAUAAAUAAUGUUUUAACUUUGAUUGACUUUGAAUAAACAUUAUAUUAAUGUUA